AUGUUCUUUUUAGCAACAUCAUAUGCCCCUUUUAACUGUAAACACAUGAAUAUAGCCUGACCUGCAACGUCAAUGCUUUAAAAUCAUUCUUUGGUGAAGUGUUUUGUUUUGUUCGUCACAGCUGACAAGGAGCAGUCCGUCCAUUUGAUGUAGAUGCUCCUAUGCUUCACAGAAGAUGUUGAGUUUAUUGGAUGAAACAUCUACUUCUGUUUAGUUGAGGAGAAGCAAUUAUACUGCCACCUUUUUCAGGAGUUUUCAAGAGUACAAAACAAAGAUUCGACUGGCAGUGCAACAUGUGACUCUAUUGACCUGUCAUCCAUCACAGUCCGCUGGAGACACACAUUUCAGUGUGUAACACUCAGCAGAGCUCGGUCUUCCCUUGGCUCUCCGAACUCAAUUAAACCGAUGCUGGUGCGACACAACAUCCUCUGCAAAGCCAAGCGAUUUUAGACCCUCACGCUAUCAUUCUUACUAUCCUGCUGUUUGUCGAACUCUGUUCAUCGCUUUAUAACUGCACAGUGGUAUCUGUAUCAUGUUAUAUAAACAG